UUAUCCGGAUUUAUUGGGUUUAAAGGGUGCGUAGGCGGUUUGAUAAGUUAGAGGUGAAAUUUCGGGGCUCAACCCUGAACGUGCCUCUAAUACUGUUGAGCUAGAGAGUAGUUGCGGUAGGCGGAAUGUAUGGUGUAGCGGUGAAAUGCUUAGAGAUCAUACAGAACACCGAUUGCGAAGGCAGCUUACCAAACUAUAUCUGACGUUGAGGCACGAAAGCGUGGGGAGCAAACAGGAUUAGAUACCCUGGUAGUCCACGCAGUAAACGAUGAUAACUCGUUGUCGGCGAUACACAGUCGGUGACUAAGCGAAAGCGAUAAGUUAUCCACCUGGGGAGUACGUUCGCAAGAAUGAAACUCAAAGGAAUUGACGGGGGCCCGCACAAGCGGAGGAACAUGUGGUUUAAUUCGAUGAUACGCGAGGAACCUUACCCGGGCUUGAAAGUUAGCGACGAUUCUUGAAAGAGGAUUUCCCUUCGGGGCGCGAAACUAGGUGCUGCAUGGUUGUCGUCAGCUCGUGCCGUGAGGUGUCGGGUUAAGUCCCAUAACGAGCGCAACCCCUACCGUUAGUUGCCAUCAGGUGAAGCUGGGCACUCUGGCGGGACUGCCGGUGUAAGCCGAGAGGAAGGUGGGGAUGACGUCAAAUCAGCACGGCCCUUACGUCCGGGGCUACACACGUGUUACAAUGGUAGGUACAGAGGGCAGCUACCCAGCGAUGGGAUGCGAAUCUCGAAAGCCUAUCUCAGUUCGGAUUGGAGGCUGAAACCCGCCUCCAUGAAGUUGGAUUCGCUAGUAAUCGCGCAUCAGCCAUGGCGCGGUGAAUACGUUCCCGGGCCUUGUACACACCGCCCGUCAAGCCAUGGGAGCCGGGGGUGCCUGAAGUUCGUGACCGCAAGGAGCGACCUAGGGCAAAACUGGUGACUGGGGCUAAGUCGUAACAAGGUAGCCGUACCGGAAGGUGCGGCUG
rnacentral:rRNA from 1 species